GCGAACGCUUGCGGCGAGCCUAACACAUGCAAGUCGAGCGCCUUCAGCAAUGGAGGAGCGGCGGACGGGUGAGUAACACGUAGGUCAUCUGCCUUUCGGUGGGGGAUAACCAGGGGAAACUCUGGCUAAUACCGCAUGAGGUCCACGGAUCAAAGCCCGCAAGGGCGCCGGAAGAUGAGCUUGCGUCCGAUUAUUUAAUCCUAGUUGGCGGGGUAAUGGCCCACCAAGGGUACGAUCGGUAGCUGGUCUGAGAGGACGAUCAGCCACACUGGAACUGAGACACGGUCCAGACUCCUACGGGAGGCAGCAGUGGGGAAUAUUGCGCAAUGGGGGAAACCCUGACGCAGCUACGCCGCGUGGGUGAUGAAGGCCUUCGGGUUGUAAAGCCCUGUCCGUGGGGACGAAAACUGACGGUACCCACGAAGAAAGCACCGGCUAACCCUGU
rnacentral:rRNA from 1 species